GGAGAGGUGACCGAGUGGUUGAAGGUGCACGACUGGAACUCGUGUGUAGGGCGUGAGUUCUACCGAGGGUUCGAAUCCCUCCCUCUCCGCCA
rnacentral:tRNA from 1 species